AAGGAUCAUUAAAAGUUGUGCGAGGCGGUCCCCUGGUACUGCCAGGGUGGCCGCUUAGACACCAACACCCUCUGUAUAUCUACCGCGUUGCUUUGGUGGGACGGCAGCCAUCAGCCCUGCUGAGAAGCUGUCCGCAGGGCCUCCCAAUGCCCCGCGAGUGCCCGCCAGAGAACCAUCAAACACAUGUUAAACCGUGAUGUCUGAGCUUUACAAGCAAUAAGUUAAAACUUUCAACAACGGAUCUCUUGGUUCUC
rnacentral:misc_RNA from 1 species